rnacentral:lncRNA from 1 species
CCAAGAAAACGACAUGCCUACCAACAAACAUCAUUUGUUGAGUAGGAUGGUAGAAGUAGUAUCCUAUACUCUCUUUGGGAUAACCUACAAAUCUGUAUUUUUCUGAUCUAGCACUAGAUUAUGUCCAUCAAUAUUUUUAACAUAAGUCGAAUAACUCCAAAUCUUAAGAUGUUUAAGAUUGGAUCUUUUUUCUUUCCAUAUCUCACAUGGAGUGCUAGAGAC